GACCGCAUAGUGUCUUGCCACAAGUUAAAGAUUAGGAAGGGUUACAGUGUGAAACCCCGCAGCGAAAGGAAACAAAGUAAGAAAGAACUCUCUGUAGAGCUCACUGAUAGAGCUUGUCUUUCAGAGGCCUUGGGUUUUCUCUUCAGAACAUUAAAAGGAAAAAGUAUCAGGAGGCAGAUCUUAGUGAGUUCCAGGUCAGCCCAGUCUACAUAUCAAGUUGGACAGCCAGGGCUAUACAGAGAAACUCUAUCUCAAAAAACCAAAAUAUGCUCACAGUCAGCUAAUGGAUGGAUCAUAGGGCUCCCAAUGGAGGAGCUAGAGAAAGUAGCCAAGGAGCUAAAGGGAUCUGCAACCCUAUAGGUGGAACAACAU
rnacentral:lncRNA from 1 species